GUCUGCGAAAGAGCAACAAUGGCGAAAACGAUCCUCUGUCUUAUUCUUUGCACCGUGCUGAUGACUGCCGUUUUGGCCCAAGAUAAAGUUGAUAAAGCGGCGGUUAAAUCUGAGUUGCUGAAUAACUUGGUCAGUCGACUUGUUCAUGAUGCCAAAAAGGGAGCAGCCAGGCAAGCGAGAGGAUUCGAUAACGAAAGCCCGAUGCGAGCAAUGAACAAGAGGGAAUUUGAGGAAACAAUCUACGACCCAUAAAAAUUGUAAUCACGCACAAUACAGACUGGAAAAACAGACAAAUCAAACAUAAAUAUGCUGUUAAAUUCAAUUUUAAUCGGUAACUCUCGAAGAGUUUUUUCAAACUUAAAUUAAAUAUAAUUUAUAUACAGGUUUCAGGAUUUCGUAAUAUUUAAUAAAUAUUUUUGGUUGCAAAUCAACUAAAUGGCCUCUGAGUCCAAUGAAUGAUAAAUAAUUAUCAUUUUAAUUUUAAAAAGCAGCUCCAUUUAACGUGCAAACACACGACUAAAAAAAAAAUUAUUUGUCCGGAA